AGCAUCUUUAGCUCAACGGAUAGAGCACCAGCCUUCUAAGCUGUAUGUUAUAGGUUCAAAUCCUAUAAGAUGUA
rnacentral:tRNA from 1 species